rnacentral:rRNA from 1 species
UUACGGGAGGCAGCAGUGAGGAAUCUUCCACAAUGGGCGAAAGCCUGAUGGAGCAACGCCGCGUGAAGGAUGAAGGCCCUCGGGUUGUAAACUUCUUUUAUAAGUGAAGAAUAUGACGGUAACUUAUGAAUAAGCACCGGCUAACUACGUGCCAGCAGCCGCGGUCAUACGUAGGGUGCAAGCAUUAUCCGGAGUGACUGGGCGUAAAGAGUUGCGUAGGUGGUUUGUUAAGUGAAUAGUGAAAUCUGGUGGCUCAACCAUUCAGGCUAUUAUUCAAACUGGCAGACUCGAGAAUGGUAGAGGUAACUGGAAUUUCUUGUGUAGGAGUGAAAUCCGUAGAUAUAAGAAGGAACACCAAUGGCGUAGGCAGGUUACUGGACCAUUUCUGACACUGAGGCACGAAAGCGUGGGGAGCGAACCGGAUUAGAUACCCCGGUAGG